rnacentral:rRNA from 1 species
GCUAUGAUCUGACGGGGUUGUUGCUGGCCGUCAGCGGCAUGUGCACGCCCUGAUCAUUAUCCACUCUCAAACACCUGUGCACACACUGUAGGUCGGUUUGUGGCUGGAGUGGGCGCUCUCUGUGUCCGCUUUGGUUGUAGGCCUUCCUAUGUUUUAUUACAAACUACUUCAGUUUGAAAGAAAGUCACUGUUACGCCGAACCCAUUCAAAUACAACUUUCAGAAACGGAUCUCUGGGCUCUCGCAUCGAGGAAGAACGCAGCGAAAUGCGAUAAGUAAUGUGAAUUGCAGAAUUCAGCGAAUCAUCGAAUCUGUGAACGCACCUCCUUGCGCUCCUUGAUAUUCCGAGGAGAAUGCCUCGGUUUGAGGGUCAGGGAAUUCUCACCUCUAUUCACUUUUGUGAAUAGGGCUUGGACUGGGAGGUUUAUGGCCGGUACACCUGUGAUCGGCUCUUCUGGAAUGCAUUAGCUCGACCCUUUGUGGAUCAGCAAUCGGUGUGAUAAUGGUCUACGCGGUUGCUGUGAAGCAUGUUAAUGGGAUCGGCUUCCAAUCGUCCUUGACUCGAGGACAAUGCCUUGACCAGACGUCAAUCAGUAGAGUCGAGAGUGCCUUG